rnacentral:rRNA from 1 species
CCUACGGGAGGCAGCAGUGAGGAAUAUUGGUCAAUGGGCGAGAGCCUGAACCAGCCAAGUCGCGUGAAGGAUGACGGCCCUACGGGUUGUAAACUUCUUUUGUCAGGGAGCAAUUGAGUACACGUGUGGGCUUAGCGAGAGUACCUGAAGAAAAAGCAUCGGCUAAAUCCGUGCAAGGAGCCGCGGUAAUACGGAGGAUGCGAGCGUUAUCCGGAUGUAUUGGGUUAAAGGGGUGCGUAGGCGGAAUAUCAAGUCAGCGGUAAAAAUUCGGGGCUCAACCCGGUCGUGCCGUUGAAACUGAUGUUCUUGAGUGGGCGAGAAGUAUGCGGAAUGCGUGGUGUAGCGGUGAAAUGCAUAGAUAUCACGAAGAACUCCGGUUGCGAAGGCAGCAUACCGGAGCCCAACUGACGCUGAAGCACGAAAGCGUGGGUAUCGAACAGGAUUAGAUACCCUUGUAGUC